rnacentral:rRNA from 1 species
CAGGAAAAAGCUUGCUUUUUCGCUGACGACCGGCGCACGGGUGCGUAACACGUAUGCAAUCUACCCUUAUCUGGAGGAUAGCCCAGAGAAAUCUGGAUUAAUACUCCAUAACACUAUCGAAUCGCAUGGUUUGAUAUUUAAAGCUCCGGCGGAUAAGGAUGAGCAUGCGUCCCAUUAGCUAGUAGGUGAGGUAACGGCUCACCUAGGCUACGAUGGGUAGGGGUUCUGAGAGGAUGAUCCCCCACACUGGUACUGAGACACGGACCAGACUCC